rnacentral:lncRNA from 1 species
GGCAGAUCAGGUGGCUCAGAGCUAGCACAAUAGACUGUGAGGGGAAGCCGCACUCCCUGAUCAGGGCAGAUCAGGAGGAUUCCAAGUGUAAUUGGCCUCCAGGGAGUAUGUAAGUCACUCUUGUACACCCCCUCAGACCUCCUUAAUGCCUUGCCAGCUGGAAGGAAAAGAGCCUCUUGCAUUGCCCACAAAGGAAGCAGAGAUUGAGGGGAGAAGAACUGGAGAAAUUAAAAAAGUGGAAAGAGACAGCAACACAAAUAAAGAGGUUGAGUACCAGUAGAAACCUCAUAUUUACCUGGAAGAUUACUUUUAGGAAGCUUGAAGAAUUCUCUCUUCCAACUUGGUUAAUCUGAGUUCUGUGGCACCUACAAGAGAAAUGGCUGCUUAUAUGUGACAACCUGCAGAUCUGAGCAGCAGGGGAACAAAGGCAGGGCCAACACAAUGGCACUGGUCCCGUUGAGUCCUGGGGAGUCCUCAGCUUUCAGGAGUCCCCUGAAUAUGGGGCAACCCCACAGAAUGGACUUUUCAUCCAUGUGGCUGUGAUCAGUUCCUAAAGCAGAGGAAUCUGCAGCCUAAUGACACAUCAGGAAUUGAUGGAACCCCAGCAGACAGCUUCUAUGAGGUGUGUGGGUGGCGGAUGUGAAAUCAAUAAAAAAAAAAAAAAGAAUAAUUUUUUUUGUUGUUUUUGUUCACUGUCAUGUACAUUAAAGCAUGUAGGCCUCUUCCAGUGUAUAUGUGUAACUUUCACAGUAAAACCUGGAUGAAAAAUCAAUAGAAAUUUAGAAUCUUUCUUCAUAGGAACUGUAUGAUUACUUUGGCAGGAGGAAAAAUAAACAUGUGAAAACAACCUCAAGUCAAUAAAAUGUAUGAUCAGUAACAUAUGAUGAGUAUAUAAGUUAUAGCAUGGGUAAUGUUGAUUCUAGCUAAUUACCUUUGAAAUUGAGGCAGGGCAAAACCAAUUAUGAGCUAGAGUUCAUAAGUAACUCCAAGAACUCCAAGUUGAAAAUCUCAAGGAGAGAGGAUUGCACAUUGGUAGUCCUGUGGAAUAGAGAAGAGAGAAGUCAUUCCAGGCAGAGGAAUGACAGGCAGAGGGGAAUUUUGGGUAACUAGACUGGGCUCAUUCUAAGUGAGCAGCACAUGCAGUUACAAAGACAUCAACACUCUUGUGUCUCCUGCUGCAGAGGUCUUGAUGCUGUGAAUGAUGACUAAUAUAUCUUUGGGUCUCCGAAGUGACUGAUUUAAUUCUAUCAUUUUUGGAGGCAAGGCUUUAUUAUAAGCUACACGAAUAACUUCAAAAAAGGAUUAAAUUAACUGUGCAUUAUUUACUGCAAGUGCAUUUCUCUGGUAUAAAUCUGUCUUAUUUAUGCAUUAGGAUGAGAAAACAGUUUAUUGCCAUUAUAUAUUGUUUAGGGCUGAAGGUUACAAUCUGUCACAAUAUCUCUUCAAAUCCAAAUUCUGGCUAAUUAAUUCUUUUUAUGAUAAAUUUUAUUUU